rnacentral:rRNA from 1 species
GUUUGAUCCUGGCUCAGGAUGAACGCUGGCGGCGUGCCUAACACAUGCAAGUCGAACGGACUUACAUUGAAGCCUAGCGAUAUGUAAGUUAGUGGCGGACGGGUGAGUAACGCGUGGGUAACCUGCCUUGUACUGGGGGACAACAGUUGGAAACGACUGCUAAUACCGCAUAAGCGCACAGCUUCGCAUGAAGCAGUGUGAAAAACUCCGGUGGUACAAGAUGGACCCGCGUCUGAUUAGCUGGUUGGUGAGGUAACGGCCCACCAAGGCAACGAUCAGUAGCCGGCCUGAGAGGGUGAACGGCCACAUUGGGACUGAGACACGGCCCAAACUCCUACGGGAGGCAGCAGUGGGGAAUAUUGCACAAUGGGGGAAACCCUGAUGCAGCAACGCCGCGUGAGUGAAGAAGUAUUUCGGUAUGUAAAGCUCUAUCAGCAGGAAAGAAAAUGACGGUACCUGACUAAGAAGCCCCGGCUAACUACGUGCCAGCAGCCGCGGUAAUACGUAGGGGGCAAGCGUUAUCCGGAUUUACUGGGUGUAAAGGGAGCGUAGACGGUUUUGCAAGUCUGAAGUGAAAGCCCGGGGCUUAACCCCGGGACUGCUUUGGAAACUGUCGUACUAGAG